AGUGAACGCUGGCGGUAGGCCUAACACAUGCAAGUCGAACGGCAGCACAGUAAGAGCUUGCUCUUACGGGUGGCGAGUGGCGGACGGGUGAGGAAUACAUCGGAAUCUACUUUUUCGUGGGGGAUAACGUAGGGAAACUUACGCUAAUACCGCAUACGACCUACGGGUGAAAGCAGGGGAUCUUCGGACCUUGCGCGAUUGAAUGCGCCGAUGUCGGAUUAGCUAGUUGGCGGGGUAAAGGCCCACCAAGGCGACGAUCCGUAGCUGGUCUGAGAGGAGGAUCAGCCACACUGGAACUGAGACACGGUCCAGACUCCUACGGGAGGCAGCAGUGGGGAAUAUUGGACAAUGGGCGCAAGCCUGAUCCAGCCAUACCGCGUGGGUGAAGAAGGCCUUCGGGUUGUAAAGCCCUUUUGUUGGGAAAGAAAAGCAGCAGGUUAAUACCCCGCUGUUCUGACGGUACCCAAAGAAUAAGCACCGGCUAACUUCGUG
rnacentral:rRNA from 1 species